AUGGGGAACGAACACCACAGUAUAAACAUUUGUUGUUCCAAGAAUGAUUGGAUUUUACAACACAAACUACUGUAUUUACACAGUAUACAUCAUCAGAUCCAAAACAAAACUAUAUUUCACAAGCCAAACGGAUUACACUUCAGUACAGUACAUGAGUUCGAUCUGGAUGCCGCGCCUCCCUUCAACCAUACCGUGUGCCCCUGCUCACCGGAGCAGCAGCAACCAGUAGCCACACCCCUUCUCCUUCCUUCCUCCAUGGAUAGGAGCACACCAACACCACCAUGGACUCCCGAGAGGAGCUCAAGCCGUCCGCCGCCAAGGCGGAGCUCGCCACCCUCGUCCGGGCGCUGGAUCCGGUCGUGA
rnacentral:rRNA from 1 species